rnacentral:rRNA from 1 species
ACGGCUCAGUAACACGUGGACAAUCUAACCUACGGAAGAGGAUAACCCCGGGAAACUGGGGAUAAUACUCUAUAGACUAUGGAUGCUGGAAUGCUUUGUAGUCCAAAGGUCCGCCGCCGUAGGAUGGGUCUGCGGCCGAUUAGGUUGUUGUUGGGGUAACGGCCCAACAAGCCUGUAAUCGGUACGGGUUGUGGGAGCAAGAGCCCGGAGAUGGAUUCUGAGACACGAAUCCAGGCCCUACGGGGCGCAGCAGGCGCGAAAACUUUACAAUGCGGGAAACCGUGAUAAGGGAACUCCGAGUGCCCGUAAAAUCGGGCUGUCCAUCAGUUUAAAUAACUGGUGAAGAAAGGGCCGGGCAAGACCGGUGCCAGCCGCCGCGGUAAUACCGGCGGCUCGAGUGGUGGCCACUAUUACUGGGCUUAAAGCGUUCGUAGCUGGUUUGUUAAGUCCCUGGGGAAAUCUUCCGGCUUAACCGGAAGGCGUCUCAGGGAUACUGGCAGACUAGGGACCGGGAGAGGUGAGGGGUACUCCAGGGGUAGGAGUGAAAUCCUGUAAUCCUUGGGGGACCACCUGUGGCGAAGGCGCCUCACCAGAACGGCUCCGACAGUGAGGGACGAAAGCUGGGGGAGCAAACCGGAUUAGAUACCCGGGUAGUCCCAGCCGUAAACGAUGCGCGUUAGGUGUAUCAGUGACCACGAGUCACUGAGGUGCCGAAGAGAAAUCGUGAAACGUGCCGCCUGGGAAGUACGGUCGCAAGGCUGAAACUUAAAGGAAUUGGCGGGGGAGCAC